rnacentral:rRNA from 1 species
AAUGGGGGAUAACGUAGCGAAAGUUACGCUAAUACCGCAUAUGCCCUGAGGGGGAAAGGAGGGGAUCGCAAGACCUUUCGCUUUCGGAGUGGCCGAUAUCAGAUUAGCUAGUUGGUGAGGUAAAGGCUCACCAAGGCGACGAUCUGUAGCGGGUCUGAGAGGAUGAUCCGCCACACUGGGACUGAGACACGGCCCAGACUCCUACGGGAGGCAGCAGUGGGGAAUUUUGGACAAUGGGGGCAACCCUGAUCCAGCCAUGCCGCGUGAGUGAAGAAGGCCUUCGGGUUGUAAAGCUCUUUCAGCCGGAAAGAAAUCGCGCAGGCUAAUAUCCUGUGUGGAUGACGGUACCGGAAGAAGAAGCACCGGCUAACUACGUGCCAGCAGCCGCGGUAAUACGUAGGGUGCGAGCGUUAAUCGGAAUUACUGGGCGUAAAGCGUGCGCAGGCGGUUUUGUAAGACAGGCGUGAAAUCCCCGGGCUUAACCUGGGAACUGCGUUUGUGACUGCAAGGCUAGAGUGUGGCAGAGGGGGGUAGAAUUCCG